AUGAGGAGAUAGACUUUGUUAAUUACAAAAAUUUUAUUUUAUCUUUUAGCUUUCAUCAGAAGAAAAACACCCGGAUUGAAAUGCCAACAACAAAUAAUAGGUGUUGGUGAUAUGCACUCUCUCCACCCAAAUCAGAUAACUGGCACAUCAAUACUUAGAAGGCUCAGGAGAAGAAGAAAACAUCAAUAUUUCACUGAACACAAAAAGUUGCACAACUCCCCACUCUUUAUUUUAAUGUCAGCUGUGGUUAGUUCGUCGUUUUUCUUUUUUUUCUGUAAGAUGAGUGAUUUCCACUUUUUUUUGAAUCCCACCUGUGCAAAUAGCUUGUUUUUCUCCCUAGCAAGUGUUAACAAGGAACUGCGAGGGCUUUGUUCAGGCUCAGUAGUCAGGCAGUCCUGGGGCGUCUGACUUCUAGGAAAAGCCACAGCAGGAACAAAUGAGAGCCAGCCCACGCACCAGGCACAGCUUUUGCUGGUCCUCAGCUUCGUGUUCCAGCUCACACUCGUGGUAAAUGAAUCGCCGUCAGCGACUGCAACGCCGAUCAGCGCCGGGAGCACAGAUCGGGACGAGCUGGAUGCUUCAUCAUGGAGCUGCCCUUAGAAACGAUGGCCCAUUAUAAGGCAGCUUCACCCUCCUCAGCGGAGCCCACGGCAAUUUAGGACUUACUUUGCUCACUUUAGUCCGUGCAAUUUCGUCCUUUGUGUGAACCAGAUCAUGCAAAUGGGGGCACCGGAGUCACAGGGAAGUCGAGUUCCACACGAGGACUGGCAUGAGAAGGAGCAGCAAUUAGCUCUAAAUUCACUCUACCAGCCUGUCAUUUCUGCACUCUCCCCUGCUGCUCUGCAACUGGAAGCCUUGUGCUCUAGAAGAAGGGGAGAAGAACAUUUUGCUCAUGCUCAUAUUAAUCAAGUCAUCUUGUGAGCUGCUGAAUCUGUGAAAUUGUAUCUCCCAUGGAGUUCGGUGGUAAUGACUGUCUUCGAUGUGGACUCUCUGGUGUCUAAUAAUACAGUAAUAUUUCUGCAGUGGAUGCACUCCCAGCAUUUUUUCUCCUCUGCCUGCCUACUUCUACAGCACUUGUAGGCAGCUCAAAUCUUUGAGACUUCUAUCCCUUGUCAAGUUUGAUCAAACUCAGUUCACAGGCUCAAAAAUUAUUUAGGAGGGACCGACUGGCACUUGCACAGACAGUGUGGUCUCAUAAGCUUCCUUUCCAUGGGAAACUAGGCUACCAACCUAGCAACGGGGUGAAAAAAAGCCAUCCUGCUAGCAAGGAGGACCUAAACACCAGGAGGAAAGAGGGGAGGUGGGAGAGGAAAGUGAAGCUGUUUUGAAGGGGAAAAAUUUGCUGCCUUGUGGCUGCAGAGCUCUCACACACUUAAAGGACCAGCCUUGGAGUGACAUGCUGGAGAAAUUAUUCUCCAGGAGAUGGAAAGCUCUCUCAUGAAAAUUGGUAAGGGAAAGAAAUGACCUGGAUUCAUCUCACCACCUGGCACACUGAAUGGAUAUCUCUAUAGUAAGGAUUGUCACUGGUGACACUCGUUCCUCCCUGUGGACUAGAAGAAGACACAGACCCAAUUAGCAUGCAACCUGUAUGCCUGCAGCAUCUAAAGCGAGGUGUGUCCUAUCCCAAAGGGAAUUAUCUUCUUCCCACUCUCUCCUUCAGACCAAAGUUUUCCAUGGUGCUGCUGCAGGGUUUGUUACUUCAUGUACUACAUUUGUAUUUUAGAAAAGCUGCUGUGUGUCUUAAUAGCUGCAGAUGUAUGCAUGGUUUUACUGGGCAUUUAUUAUCACUUAUCCUCUUUGCACUGAAACCUUUCCUGUCCUUGUAUCUUAUGGAAUAAAAUUCUUUAAGUGAGCGUUAA